rnacentral:rRNA from 1 species
GAUGAUCGCUAGCAGCAGGCUUAAUACAUGCAAGUCGAGGGACAGCACAGGUAGCAAUACUGGGUGGUAACCGGCAAACGGGUGCGGAACACGUACACAACCUUCCUUUAAGUGGGGGAUAGCCCAGAGAAAUUUGGAUUAAUACCCCGUAAUAUAGUUGAAUGGCAUCAUUUGAUUAUUAUAGCUACGGCGCUUAAUGAUGGGUGUGCGGCUGAUUAGAUAGUUGGCGGGGUAACGGCCCACCAAGUCUACGAUCAGUAGCUGAUGUGAGAGAAUGAUCAGCCACACGGGCACUGAGACACGGGCCCGACUCCUACGGGAGGCAGCAGUAAGGAAUAUUGGUCAAUGGACGCAAGUCUGAACCAGCCUUGCCGCGUGAAGGAUUAAGGUCCUCUGGAUUGUAAACUUCUUUUAUUUGGGACGAAAAAGGGCCUUUCUAGGUCAACUGACGGUACCAGAUGAAUAAGCACCGGCUAACUCCGUGCCAGCCGCCGCGGUAAUAC